rnacentral:rRNA from 1 species
AGUGGCGAACGGGUGAGUAACACGUGGGUGAUCUGCCCUGUACUUUGGGAUAAGCCUGGGAAACUGGGUCUAAUACCGAAUAUGACCACUUCUUGGAUGGGGUGGUGGAAAGCUUUUGCGGUAUGGGAUGAGCUCGCGGCCUAUCAGCUUGUUGGUGGGGUAAUGGCCUACCAAGGCGUCGACGGGUAGCCGGCCUGAGAGGGUGUACGGCCACAUUGGGACUGAGAUACGGCCCAGACUCCUACGGGAGGCAGCAGUGGGGAAUAUUGCACAAUGGGCGCAAGCCUGAUGCAGCGACGCCGCGUGGGGGAUGACGGCCCUCGGGUUGUAAACUCCUUUCGCAACCGACGAAGCUUUUGUGACGGUAGGUUGAGAAGAAGCACCGGCUAACUACGUGCCAGCAGCCGCGGUAAUACGUAGGGUGCGAGCGUUGUCCGGAAUUACUGGGCGUAAAGAGCUCGUAGGUGGUUUGUCGCGUCGUUUGUGGAAUACCGCAGCUUAACUGCGGGGUUGCAGGCGAUACGGGCAUAACUUGAGUGCUGUAGGGGAGACUGGAAUUC